AGUGUCGACAGCAUUGUGUGGAGUGAUACACCUUCAUCUUCAAUUUCGCCAAGGGCAUACAUGAUUUGGUAUCAAAGUUAAGAAGUAUCAUCAUACUUUUUGCUAUAACCUCACUAAAAUUAUGAGCUCCCAAAUAAAUAAGUGCCCGUGUAGCUGAUCUAACUAAAAAAAUAGUUUCCUUAGCUUCGUAAUAGAUUUCCGUUACAGUAAUUAUUCUCCUUCUAUCCAAUUUUGCUGUUUAGAUGAACUAGGCUUCAGCAAACAUCAUAAUAGGAAAACAAUCUGAACAGUUACACUCUACUUACUCUUACUAUUGUUUUUAAAGAAUUUGUGCUGGACUUGAAAAGUUAAGCCUGAUUUCUUCUAUGGUUUAACCAUCCUAAAUUAGAUGAUUUGUGCUGCACUUUAAAUUUAAUAGAUCAUGUCUGCGUUGGAUGGCUUAAUGAUUCCAAGGAAUACAUAGAUGCUAGGAAAGCCAUGGACGACGUUGGGAUCUGAUUCUGAAGAUCAGUGUAUACAUUCCUUCCUCUAGGGAACAUCAUGCUUGCAGAGGGUCAAGAAUCAGAAGCUUCAGAACCUAAGGACGAGAAAUCAUGGUUCCAUCUAAGCAUCAAGCUCCAUCACCAGGCGAGAGACGUUGUUUUCAGCAGCUCGGUAUUGUCUCACCAAGAAGCAUUGUUAAUAUAUACAUAGCUGCAGAGAAAAAUUAAAACUCAACUUUUUUCGCCCCAUAAAAGCCAUAGAAAUCUUUCACGAUCAAUGGUUUAACAAAGUUUCCUUAUUGUGUUCUCUUUGGCUAGAUUUCGUUUGAUUUAACUUAUAAUA